GUGCGAACGUUGUUCGGAUUUACUGGGCGUAAAGGGCGCGCAGGCGGCUAUCCAAGUCAGGCGUGAAAGCCCCGGGCUUAACCUGGGAGGUGCGUCUGGGACUGGGUGGCUAGAGUUCGGGAGAGGAGAGUGGAAUUCCCAGUGUAGAGGUGAAAUUCGUAGAUAUUGGGAAGAACACCGGUGGCGAAGGCGGCUCUCUGGACCGAGACUGACGCUGAGGCGCGAAAGCGUGGGGAGCAAACAGG
rnacentral:rRNA from 1 species